rnacentral:rRNA from 1 species
UACAGAGGUCUCAAGCGUUGUUCGGAUUCAUUGGGCGUAAAGGGUGCGUAGGCGGCGCGGUAAGUCGGGUAUGAAAUCUCGGGGCUUAACUCCGAAACUGCAUUCGAUACUGCCGUGCUUGAGGACUGGAGAGGAGACUGGAAUUUACGGUGUAGCGGUGAAAUGCGUAGAUAUCGUAAGGAAGACCAGUGGCGAAGGCGGGUCUCUGGACAGUUCCUGACGCUGAGGCACGAAGGUCGGGGGAGCAAACGGG